CCUCCGCGUCCUCCCUCUUCUUCCCCAUUCCUCUUCUCUCUCUCUCUCUCCCUCUCUCUCUCUCUCUUCGACGUCUCUCUCUCUCUCUUCCGUUAGGGUUUACUCUCCCCAUUUCUCCCCCCCGAAACCCUAGAAAUUCGAUCCGUUCUCCUCUCCGAUCUCUUUCUACGCGCUUUUGAAUCUUCUGAGGGGAGUCUCUCCGUCUCCUCGUCCUCGAUCUCCCACGGGAUUCGUCGCUUCUUCGGUUUCUCGCGGCGCAAGCAUCACCAUGUAUGCACUUUGAAACAGGUCCUAUGGAGAUACCUUUGUUGAAAACGUUGCUUGAUAGCAUCUCAAAUUUUGCCCUCCUAUCAUCCAGCAAUGCUGUUAAAACUGAACUAGUCCACAGAUACUGGCGAAAAAUUAAAGAGAUCUUGGAUCUUCUGAAACCUGUCUUUGAUGACGUCAUCUGUAAGGCGUCUCUAGAUGAGCAACUGAGUAAUGUGCUUAAAGAACUGGACUUUGUUAUCAAUGAAGCUCAGGAAAUUAUUGGCAGCUGGAACCAGAUGUCGAGCAAAAUUCUUCUUGUAUUGCAAAUUGAGCCCAUAAUUACAAAGAUUAAGACAUAUGCCCUAGAGAUAUGCCUAAAUGUUAAUUCUUCGGUUCCACCACCGGUGCCCAGUUGUUCUUCAACCUGUAUUGAGAAACUUCAACGGAUGCAUAAUGACCAAAUUUGUGGUGUCAUUAAGGAGGCUGCAAAAGAACUGGUAGGGAAAGCAACACCAAAGCCUGAAAAACUGGCAAAGAUUUCAAACCAUUUUAGCUUGUCAACAAAUCAUGAACUCUUGAUUGAGGCUGUUGCCCUCGAGAAACUUAAAACAAAGGGUGGCCGAGGCGAAAACCACAUAGAAUUCGAUACUAUUGACCGAGUAACUGCACUUGUCAACCAUAUGCAUGAUUGCUUUGUUAAAGAAAAACAGUUACUCAGCAUUAAAGGAAUACCUAUCCCUGCUGAUUUUUGCUGCCCGCUCUCCUUGGAACUGAUGUCUGAUCCGGUGAUUGUUGCAUCAGGACAAACGUACGAGCGGGCCUUUAUCAAAAAAUGGCUUGAUCUGGGUUUAACUGUUUGCCCUAAGACACGUCAAACCCUAGUGCACACCAACCUGAUUCCCAAUUACACUGUCAAAGCUUUGAUUGCCAACUGGUGUGAAUCAAAUGACAUUAAACUGCCCGAUCCUGUGAAAUCAUUGAAUUUGAGUCUUCCUUCUGCUUUUCUAGUAGAUUCAAGCCCUAAUGAAAGGGCUGACUGUCCAAGUUCACCUGAAUCUAAUAGUCCCACAUCUCCCCAUCAGCGACUCUCCAUUUCACAAACUUCAAACGGAUGCGAGGAAAACUUUUCGAGUUUAUCAUUAGCCACUUCUGAAGCAAAAACAGAAUCUAGUUUGGAACAAAGUAGGUGUACUGAUUCUCGCGGCGAAACUUCAAACCAACUGAAGGAGGAAAGUUUUCGAGCUUCUCAUGUGGAUAUGCAGAUUCAGGGUCAAAACAGUAGUGCUUCUGCCUCAAGUGCUGUUCCGAGUAGCAAUGCUGUUCCUGUAUCAAGUGAGGGUUCGAGUAAUGAUAGCAGUGAUACAUCAGGAGAAGUUUCACAAGAAACCCAAAAUGUCUCUUCUGCACCCCCAAGAGAACCUGAAUUUCCGCUUAGAAGAAGUCAAAUUUGGCGCCGUCCAUCUGAUAGGUUCUCCCCUAGAAUUGUAUCGUCGCAGAUGGAUUCCCGACCUGACCUCUCCGGUGUUGAAACUGAAGUUCGGAAGCUGAUUGAGGAUCUGAAAAACGAUUCUGUGGAAGUGCAGAGAGCUGCAACAGCAGAGCUUCGCCUUCUUGCUAAACACAACAUGGAGAACAGGAUUGUGAUUGCUAAUUGCGGAGCUGUAAGCCCAUUAGUUGGCCUUCUGUAUUCUGCUGAUCCCAAGACCCAAGAAAAUGCCGUAACUGCCCUCUUGAACUUAUCGAUCAAUGAUAAUAAUAAGACAGCGAUAGCCAGUGCUGACGCCAUUGAUCCUCUUAUUCAUGUCCUCAAAACAGGUAGUCCUGAAGCAAAAGAGAACUCAGCAGCAACUCUGUUUAGCCUAUCAGUAAUUGAAGAAAACAAGGUUAGGAUCGGUCGAUCAGGGGCUAUCGUGCCUUUAGUAGAAUUAUUGGGAAACGGGACUCCUCGAGGAAGGAAAGACGCAGCUACUGCUUUGUUUAAUUUGUCCAUAUUCCAUGAAAACAAGGCUCGAAUUGUUCAGGCCGGGGCCGUUAAGCACCUAGUAGAGCUUAUGGACCCAGCUGCUGGGAUGGUUGAUAAAGCCGUGGCUGUUUUGGCGAAUCUUGCUACUAUACCGGAAGGGAGGACAGCGAUUGGCCAUGCAGGUGGGAUUCCUGUGCUUGUAGAGGUUGUCGAGUUGGGUUCUGCGAGGGGAAAGGAAAAUGCCGCUGCAGCUUUGCUUCACCUAUGCACUAAUAGUAACCGGUUCUGUAGUCAGGUUCUUCAGGAAGGUGCUGUUCCCCCGUUAGUCGUGUUGUCGCAGUCAGGCACUGCACGUGCAAAAGAAAAGUUUCUUGGAAUUUGCUAGUGGAAUGUUAUUUCAAAUGAUGCGGAAAGCAAAGAGGACUUUCUUUGAAGGUUGACUUCUAGAUAUUUGGAAAAGUACACCCAAGAAAUGCAGAGUUUGUUGAAGGAUUGCAUAUAGGAAAAGUUUAAAACAACUACACGUUUUUCUGGCGCAUGCUCUUCUCAGCUAUUUCCGCAACCAACGGCACGGCAGCGCAGGGAGGGGAAGAUCUUGAUAAAUGAUAACAAUGUGUUUAUUUCUGUUUAGCCCUUCAGUUUUAUCUAAUUAUGAGUCGGCUCCUAUUUAUCGUUUUUGGCAGUGGCGUCGGCGUCCCAAGGUAUGUGUGCAACUGUUCUGUAGUUUGCUCUUCAUAUUUUAGUCAAUCUGGUAAUUGUUGUUUGAGUUGUUGCUUUGUAAAAAAAAAAAAAAAAACGAAAAAAGAAAGAAAACAAACUGAUUGUAUAGUGGUCCUUAGAUGACCAUUUGAUUGUUUGUACUCACCAUAUGUAUAUGCAUUUUCCUUGAGAUAAAUACACAACUAUCAGUGUCGAACUAUA